CACUAUAUAUACUAGAGGAGAGA
rnacentral:siRNA from 1 species